rnacentral:sRNA from 1 species
GCCAGGCACUGUGGCACAUGCCUGUAAUCCCAGAGGCUCAGGAGGCUGAGAUAGGAGGAUCUCAAGUUCAAAGCCAGCUUCAGCAACUUAGUGAGGCUCUGAGCAACUCAGGGAGACCCUGUCUCUA